rnacentral:ncRNA from 1 species
GUAUUAAGAUAGUAUUACUUAUUUUUGGUUUAUUUAGUGUUUAAUUUUUUAUACACUGGUAGUUUUUUAAUUGUUUAAUUAGUGUUCCAGAAUAAUCGGCUAUACAUUUUAAUUUUUAACUCUAAUUUUUGUGAUUUUUAUGUUUUUAUUUAUUUUUUAAUUUUAAUAAUUUGUAAAAUAUUUUAAUUUAAUUUUUUUUUAUGUAAAAAUCUAAAAUUUGAUUUUUGAACUGGAUUAGUACCCAGGUAAUCAAAAGUAAUUAAUUCGGGAGUAAAGUUUUAUUUAAACCGAAAAAAUAUUGACUGACUUUAGAUUUUUCUUUGGAACAUGUGUUUGGAGAGCCCUCCUUUUUUGCGAAUUUUUAUAGGUACAUGUAUGAUUGUUUAGUUUUUAUAUUAUUUUGUAAUGCUUUUAAAUUUAAAACAGAUAUAUACUUGGCUAAUAAAUUCGGUUUUCAUGUGUUACUAUUAUUAAUUUUUUUUGGAUAAUUUACUAAUUUUUUUUUGAAAUUGGAAAAGAAAGUAAUUAUUUUUUAAUGUAUUAAUGAAUUUAAUAAAUAAAGUGGUACAAACCAUCCGUCAAUGGCCUAAAGGGGCGUAAGUUGUAGUAUGGUAGAGGUAAGGAAACUUGUUUCUAUUUUUUAAGAUAUUAGUUUAUGUUUA